rnacentral:piRNA from 1 species
UGGUGCUGAGUCCAGGUGGAGGGAAG